rnacentral:lncRNA from 1 species
UCAGCCCUAACUAUUCUGUGAUUUCGUGAUUUAACACGAUUUAAAUUUUAAUAUGUAGGUGCCCUGAGGAAGGCUGGCUCCUUGCACUUGGGAAAGCUCUGUCCCCCGAGGCUCAGCGUGAUUUGGGGAGUCCAGCAGGCUCCACCAAGGGACCACACUGAAGAGAUCACCACGGGCUCUGAUGGCACAUCUGACUCCAGCUCUCCAACAGCAUGGUAGGCACCCAAUAUGAGGCUCUCAGAAUCGAGUGACAGAGCAAUCAUUAUUUAGAAGUUUACAGUCCUAAGAGCCAAGACCUAGUAUUUUUCUGUUUUAUAGGCUCUGUUUUGAAGAUCUCCCUAGACUGAUUUACUGUAAGGUAAUCAUAUUAGAGAGAUUCUUCUCUGCAACGUCAGGUGCUGGAAUUGGAUUCAAGUCAUAAUCACUGAACAUACUAGAGACUAAGGCAUGUAUUCCACUGAAUGAGGAUGCAUUUGGGAAAUGUUUGAGGGCCAGUUUGAAAGCAGCUCUGUGGACUUGUUAUCAUUAACA